rnacentral:rRNA from 1 species
UACGGAGGGGGCUAGCGUUGUUCGGAAUUACUGGGCGUAAAGCGCGCGUAGGCGGCUAUUUAAGUCAGGGGUGAAAGCCCGGAGCUCAACUCCGGAACUGCCUUUGAGACUGGAUAGCUAGAAUCUUGGAGAGGCGAGUGGAAUUCCGAGUGUAGAGGUGAAAUUCGUAGAUAUUCGGAAGAACACCAGUGGCGAAGGCGGCUCGCUGGACAAGUAUUGACGCUGAGGUGCGAAGGCGUGGGGAGCAAAC